rnacentral:misc_RNA from 1 species
CCAGCAGUACCAGGAUAAA